rnacentral:pre_miRNA from 1 species
UAUCUACUCCCUCCGUCCGGAAAUAUUUGUCCACAAAAUAUAUGUAUUUAGAUGUAUUUUAGUUUUAGAUACGUCCAUUUUCAUUCAUCUUUAUGACAAGUAAUUCCGGACGGAAGAAUAUUAU